ensembl:lncRNA
UUUUUUUUUUUUUUUUUUUUUGGUGGCAAUUGACAAGAUAAUUGUAAAAUGUGCAUAGAUAUACAAGAGGCUUAGAACCGCCAAAACAGAUAUAAACACUAAUCACAAAGCCUCAAUAAAAACUAUCCAAAUCUCUUUCAAAGGCACUGAUUUAAUUUGCAAUCAAUGUGGAAAAGCUCAAGCUUAAGAACACAUUAAAAAAUAGUGGAGGAGUUCCUGCAGUGGCACAGUGGAAAUGAAUCCAACUAGGAACCAUGAGGUUGCAGGUUUGAUCCCUGGCCUUGCUCAGCAGGUUAAGGAUCUAGCAUUGCCAUGAGCUGUGGUGUAAGUUGCAGAUGCAGCUCGGUUCCUGUGUUGCUGUGGCUGUGGUGUGGGCAAGCAGUUGUAGCUCUGAUUUGACCCCCAGCCUGGGAAAUUCCAUAUGCCAUGGGUGCAGCCCUAAAAAGCAAAUAAAUAAAUAAAUAAAUAAAUAAAAAUAAAAGUAAAAAAUAGUGGGAAGUUGUGAAGGGCAAUUGGGUGGUAACUGAUAGAUUUUCUGGUGAUAUAAGUCAAGCUGUAAACCAGCCAUUCUUCUGGAGAGAACCAGGGAAAGUGAAAUCUGGGAAGAAUCCUCUUGGGUGUUACUAUGAAUCUCAAACACUGGCCUCAGGAACUAUCUCUUCAAAGGAGACUUGUUUUGAUUGGAUCAGUCUGUGAAGAAAUGUAUGCCCCAGGGCAUUGUUGAAAAUAAUAGGGCAAUCAGCCAGCAAUUAGUGGAGCUUAACAGCUGGGUGUGGCCAGGGAAGGGACAGUCCAAGAGAGUCCUAUAAAAACCAUGUCAUUCCAGGAUGACCCUGGCAUACCCAAGGCUGUGCCCCAUGAAGAAUGACAUCAGAGAGUACACACUGCUGGAGUUGGGAGAAGUAAAUUUCAAUGAGAUAAUACAGCAAGUCACAAAGAAGGAAAUAAAAAUAACAAGCCCUUAAAGUUAGGCCUAGUAUCCAGAUUUGCUAUACUGCGCUAUUUAAGAUGUCUAGUUUCCAACAACAAAAUUAUGAGACAUCUAAGAAACAGGAAAUGACAACUCAUACACUAGAGGAAGGGGGGUUAACAAUAACUGCUUCUGAGAGAAACCAGAUGUUGAACGUAACAAAGACUUCAAAAUAGCAAUUGCAAAUAUGUUCAAAAAUCUAAAGGAAACCAUGAUUAAAGCAGUAAAGGAAGGUAUAAUGACAAUACCAUAUCCAAUUGAAGAUAUCAAUAAAGAGAUAAAAAUUAUAAAAAAUAACCAAAUGGAAAUUCUGGAGUUGAGAAGUGCAAUAAUUGAAAUGAAAAAUCCACUAAAGGGGAUCAAACAAAUAUUUGAACAUGCACAAGAAUUAGUGGACUUGAAGACAGACUGAUAGAAAUUAUGAAAACUGAAGAGCAGAGAGGAAAAAAGAAUGAUAAAGUAUGAACAGAUAUUCAGAGAAAUAUGAGACAUCAUUAAGCACAACAUGUAUGUAAUAGGAGUAUCAGAGGAAAGGAGAGUCAGAAAGGAAGAAAAAAUUAAAAAUAAAAAAAGCAAUAGCCAAAAACUACCCAAAUUUAUUGAAAACCAUUCAUCUAUAUAUCUAGGAACCUCAUUAAACUCCAAAUAAGACAAACACAAAGAAAUCCACAAAUAGAUACAUUACAGUAAAAAUGCUGAAAUCCAAAGAUAAAGAGCAAAUCUUGAAACAGCAAGAGAAAAAUAACUCAUUUACAGAGGCAUCCCAAUAAGAUUAACAGCUGACUUCUCAUCUGAAAUAAUGGAGGCCAGAAGGCAAUGGGAUAGUAUAUUCAAAGUACUCAAAGGAAAAACUGAACCAAGAACUCUAUGUACACAUGAAAAUCCACAUUAAAAAAGCACCGGUAAAAGUAACUGUGUAAUUACUUUUAUACAAGGUCUAUAAAUGCAUAUUUAUUCUCUCUUACAUUAAUUUCUUUUUAAAGGCAAUUAUAUAAAGUAACAUACAUAAUAUAUUGUUGGGCCUACAAGACAUAGAAAUGUAAUAUAUUUGCCAAUAACAGUACAAGAAGGUGGGUGGGAGGAAAGCUGUAUUGGGCUAAGAAAAUGACUCCAAAUAAUAAAUAAAACCCACCAGAACAAUGAAAAGAACCAGAAAUGAUAAAUGAAAAAGUUAAUAUAACAAAAGCUACAAACUUAUUCUUGCUCUCUUUUUUCUCUUCACUUCUUUAAAAGACAUAAUAUUCUAUAAAUUAGUAAUUACAAAUAUAUUCUUGGGCUUGUAAUAUUUUUAGAUGAAUAUAUAUAAAAAUACCACAAAAAAAGGAAAGUAGUGAGUAGAGAUACACAGAAGUAACAUUUCUAUUUCUCACUAGAAUCAAUUUAGUAUCAAUCUGAAUAUGAUUCUGAAAAGUUAAUAUGUAUUUAGUAAGCCCUAGAAUAACAACUAUGGAAAUAAUUUUUAAAUAUAUAGUAAAAAAGUUAUCAAAAAAUAUGGACACUAUAUUAGAAAUUAUUCAGUUAAUGAAAAAGAAACCAGUAAAAGAGGAAUAGAACCUAGAAAACCCUAAGGACUCAACCCCAAAACUCCUUGAACUGAUUAAUAAAUUCAGCAAAGUGGCAGGAUAUAAGAUUAACAUUCAGAAGUCAGUUGCAUUUCUGUAUACCAGCAAUGAAACAUUAGAAAAGGAAUACAAAAAUACGAUACCUUUUAAAAUUGUACCUCACAAAAUCAAAUACCUCGGAAUACACCUGACCAAAGAGGUAAAGGACCUAUAUGCCGAGAACUAUAAAACUUUAAUCAAAGAAAUCAAAGAAGAUGUAAAGAAAUGGAAAGAUAUUCCAUGUUCCUGGAUUGGAAAAAUCAAUAUUGUGAAAAUGGCCAUCCUACCCAAAGCAAUCUACAGAUUCAAUGCAAUCCCUAUCAAAUUACCCAUGACAUUUUUCACAGAACUAGAACAAACAAUCCAAACAUUUAUAU